AUGAGCUACUUGCAGCGACAAGCACUGCACACUCGACACCUUCUAGUCAAGGCAAUACCAUUAUUGGAUCACCUGUUGCAGGGAAAAGGAAGUUGGAAGAAGAGUUUGCCCAGCACAAGUCUCGUCGGAGGUCACGUGUACACAAAUCCGAGCUUGAUGCAUACUUGGAAGAAGCAUCCGAGAAGGUCGGUGAUGACUUUGAUGUCUUGGGUUGGUGGAAGAGGCAUGGCGAAAAGUUUCCUAUAUUGGCAUCUAUGGCCCGUGACUUUCUUGCAAUUCCUUUGA
rnacentral:rRNA from 1 species